ACUAUUUAAAUAACUAUUAAGAAAACAUAAUUAAUCGAUUUGGUGGGAAAUAUCAAGAUCUUUUGUAGAAAAUAAAAUAGAUCUUGGCACUGAUUAGUAAAUUACACAAUAAUUAGAUCUACAUCUAGAAGGGGUUCUCUCAACAUGGAGACAGGAAUAAGACAGACACAGGGACAAAGAUACCAACAAUGUUUUAGAACACUGCAAUCAACUGAUUUACAACCCUCUGUAUUCAAGUGGCUAGAGUACUACCAUGUGUUUUGUGCUUAUGGGUUUAUGAUUACAGUAAAAAAUAAAACCAAGUGCUGUGAUAGGUUGAAACAAACCAGGUCCAUUGGGACAGAUGGAGAGAUCAUGAGUUUCUCUGACUUUGGCAUAGGAAGGGAUAGUGUAGUCAAGUUCAAUACAAUGCUCAGCCACCUUUAUUUUCCCAACCAGUUACUAGAGCCCAUUAUUAGAACUUGAGACUAUCAGCGAACCUGUAUUAAUAAAACAGUGAAAUCUUGCUGGAAGGUGCUAUCAUAGUAUAACUGGAUUUACCAGCCGUCUCUUCAAGAUGGAUGUUAGAACCUCACAGUUGGUUAUUUUUUCAGGCCACCUGAUGUUCAGUUUGCUACACAGCCAUUCAUUAUUGAAAGUCUCAGAACCAUAGAGGAGAACAAAUUUUACAUUGCUGUUCAACAGUCAUAUUUGGAAAACUGUAGACAGCUCUUGACAUCCAUUGUCUUUUGAUGUCCUCAUCUGCUCCCCCAUCUUCUUACAACAGAUCCUAGAUGUGUGAAGCGAUCCUGCUCCAAAAUAUUCAUUUCUUGUAUCCUAAGUGGAACUCCUGUUUGUUGUUGAUUCUUAUCUCUUCUGUUUUUUCCAGUUGAUCAUUAAGCCUAUAUUAAGAAGGUUCAUCAUAGUUUGCUUAGCGUGGAUUGGGCAUGUUGUCAAUGUGAGAGUAUAGCAUCCUCAAUAUCUAGACCUCCAGCUAAGUGAGGGUCCACUGUAUUUCAACCUUUUGGUCUGAUGUACUUUAUUGGUGAAAAGCUUAUAACAUUUCUGUACUCACUGAAAAAGGGCUGGUUAACUUGUGGAUAAUCUGGCAGUUGGAGUCUUUGUAGAGGUGUUGGAUACUAUUGCUGAAUUUCUUAGCGAUUGAAUGUGCAAAUUCAAUUUUUUUCACCAGGUUGGCUUUCAUGUAGAGAUAUUCUGCUACGCAGUAUUUGUUUAUAAAUAUGUGUAUCUAUCUCUCUCUCUCUCUCUCUC